rnacentral:rRNA from 1 species
AACGAACGCUGGCGGCAUGCCUAACACAUGCAAGUCGAACGAGACCUUCGGGUCUAGUGGCGCACGGGUGCGUAACGCGUGGGAAUCUGCCCUUGGGUUCGGAAUAACAGUUAGAAAUGACUGCUAAUACCGGAUGAUGUCUUCGGACCAAAGAUUUAUCGCCCAAGGAUGAGCCCGCGUAAGAUUAGCUAGUUGGUGAGGUAAUGGCUCACCAAGGCGACGAUCUUUAGCUGGUCUGAGAGGAUGAUCAGCCACACUGGGACUGAGACACGGCCCAGACUCCUACGGGAGGCAGCAGUGGGGAAGUAUUGGACAAUGGGCGAAAGCCUGAUCCAGCAAUGCCGCGUGAGUGAUGAAGGCCUUAGGGUUGUAAAGCUCUGUCGAGCGGGACGAAAAUACUUGGAGUGAACAGCUCCAGGUACUGACGGUACCGC